AAUAGAUACCCUGGUAGUCCACGCCGUAAACGAUGAGUGCUAAGUGUUGGGGGGGUUUCCGCCCCUCAGUGCUGCAGCUAACGCAUUAAGCACUCCGCCUGGGGAGUACGGUCGCAAGACUGAAACUCAAAGGAAUUGACGGGGGCCCGCACAAGCGGUGGAGCAUGUGGUUUAAUUCGAAGCAACGCGAAGAACCUUACCAGGUCUUGACAUCCCGGUGACCACUAUGGAGACAUAGUUUCCCCUUCGGGGGCAACGGUGACAGGUGGUGCAUGGUUGUCGUCAGCUCGUGUCGUGAGAUGUUGGGUUAAGUCCCGCAACGAGCGCAACCCUUAUUCUUAGUUGCCAUCAUUCAGUUGGGCACUCUAAGGAGACUGCCGGUGAUAAACCGGAGGAAGGUGGGGAUGACGUCAAAUCAUCAUGCCCCUUAUGACCUGGGCUACACACGUGCUACAAUGGACGGUACAAACGGUUGCCAACCCGCGAGGGGAGCUAAUCCGAUAAAACCGUUCUCAGUUCGGAUUGUAGGCUGCAACUCGCCUAC
rnacentral:rRNA from 1 species